AUACGGAGGGUGCAAGCGUUAUUCGGAAUUAUUGGGCGUAAAGGGCGUGUAGGCGGCUAGGUAAGUCAGAUGUGAAAGCCCAGGGCUCAACCCUGGAAGUGCAUUUGAUACUGCUUGGCUUGAGUGCGGGAGAGGAAAGCGGAAUUCCCAGUGUAGAGGUGAAAUUCGUAGAUAUUGGGAGGAACACCGGUGGCGUAGGCGGCUUCCUGGACCAAUACUGACGCUGAGGCGCGAAGGCGUGGGGAGC
rnacentral:rRNA from 1 species